rnacentral:rRNA from 1 species
AGAGUUUGAUCCUGGCUCAGGAUGAACGCUAGCGGCAGGCUUAACACAUGCAAGUCGAGGGGCAGCGGGGAGUAGCAAUACUCCGCCGGCGACCGGCGCACGGGUGCGUAACGCGUAUGCAACCUACCUUUAACAGGGGCAUAACACUGAGAAAUUGGUACUAAUUCCCCAUAACAUUCGAGAAGGCAUCUUCUUGGGUUAAAAACUCCGGUGGUUAAAGAUGGGCAUGCGUUGUAUUAGCUAGUUGGUGAGGUAACGGCUCACCAAGGCAACGAUACAUAGGGGGACUGAGAGGUUAACCCCCCACAUUGGUACUGAGACACGGACCAAACUCCUACGGGAGGCAGCAGUGAGGAAUAUUGGUCAAUGGACGCAAGUCUGAACCAGCCAUGCCGCGUGCAGGAAGACGGCUCUAUGAGUUGUAAACUGCUUUUGUACGAGGGUAAACGCACCUACGUGUAGGUGACUGAAAGUAUCGUACGAAUAAGGAUCGGCUAACUCCGUGCCAGCAGCCGCGGUAAUACGGAGGAUCCAAGCGUUAUCCGGAUUUAUUGGGUUUAAAGGGUGCGUAGGCGGUUUGAUAAGUUAGAGGUGAAAUACCGGGGCUUAACACCGGAACUGCCUCUAAUACUGUUGGACUAGAGAGUAGUUGCGGUAGGCGGAAUGUAUGGUGUAGCGGUGAAAUGCUUAGAGAUCAUACAGAACACCGAUUGCGAAGGCAGCUUACCAAACUAUAUCUGACGUUGAGGCACGAAAGCGUGGGGAGCAAACAGGAUUAGAUACCCUGGUAGUCCACGCAGUAAACGAUGAUAACUCGUUGUCGGCGAUACACAGUCGGUGACUAAGCGAAAGCGAUAAGUUAUCCACCUGGGGAGUACGUUCGCAAGAAUGAAACUCAAAGGAAUUGACGGGGGCCCGCACAAGCGGAGGAACAUGUG